rnacentral:rRNA from 2 species
UGGCGACCAUACCGUGGUGGUCACACCUGUUCCCAUUCCGAACACAGUAGUUAAGCACCCCGGGCCGAUGAUAGUGGGUGUACCCGCGAAAGUAGGUAUCGCCA